CUAGCGCCGGCUCAUCGAACAUUGAUGCAGCUAUCGUUGUUAUUGUUGUUGUUAUCGCGGCUUACUCAACUUCGCCUGGAGUCAAAGUCAUCCAACAUGAGGUCCACAGAAGGAGCUGUUUCGAUGGGUGCAAAAAGAUUGUUGGAUGAGUGGAUUUGACUCAGUAGGCGAACAGCUGGUUAUUGUCCUACAGAGAUUACCGUGUUUGGCUCAAAUGUAAAGUAUGUCGGGCUUAAGUCUUAGUAGAGAGUCUUCAACAGUAACUAAAUCUUAAUUGUGGCAGCAUUACUCGGGUCUCGCGAGAAAGCUGGAGCUGUUUUUCUGCUAUGUGUAGUGGUUAGAUUCCGAGCACACCAUUUACAGAAAGAGAAUUUAUAAAUGUCUUCAGUGUAUGUCUGCAAGGGCAGAUGCUAUCAACGAUAUACGGCAACAUUUAUAUGUCCUGAUAGACGAUUGCACCUUUUCUAUUUUUCUCUGCGGUCAAGAUUAUGUUCACCAGCAAGAAAUUAACGGAUUAUAAGAGGUCAUCACGUCCGAAACUUCGAUUGGUACCGAUCAGCUUGAAGAGGCACUUCCCGACUCCGAUGGAACGUCAGUCAGUUCACACAGUUAUACAAGUUUUGUGGCUAUACCAAAUUCAGACAAAAUAUAUAUACGAAUAUCUAACAGGUCUGACACCAUAUUGAUUAGGUUCAAAAAUUUCGUUGAGGCGGGUUUUUAAUAUGUCUCAAAAUGCGCUCGAUACCGCCUUCCUUACAUGCGAUAUUGAGGAGGCUUACCAACGAUCAUCUCAGCAGAUUUUUGGAUCUUAUUCUUGUGAUGAUCCGUCCACUUUGGCAGCUCUUCGCCAACAUAGCUGAAUAGCCUAGUCGCACAACCUUCGGCCCAACCGUUUUGUUGUUCUUCAGGCAGGUUAUUGCUAUUUCUGAUCAAUAAUAUUUAGCGACCACCUCUCCCACCAAAAUUCUUACACCGCAGUAUUGGACAACAAUUUCGGGCAUUUUUUUUUCUGCAAUUUCAGAAUGGUACCACCCUAAUAUAGACUAGGUAGCCACUUAGAGAGGUGUAUGUGUGCCUAAUAUUAUAACCGUACGAGUUCGACGAAUGCAAACAUAACCAAUUAUCAACUGCUUGCGCCCACAAUUAAAAGCAAAUACAUACAUACAUACAUACAUACAAACAUAAAUACUUAACCGAAAUUAGGCAGCCGUGAAGCGCCGCGGCACAUCAAAGGACACACCGUGGCGGUCAGCUAUGUACGUAAAUGUAUGUGCGUGGGGUCAUCGUGGUUGGGUCGGUUGGUUGAUUUUAACAAGACUCCGCUGCAGCAAUCCACAAGAGAAGAAAGAGCAAGGAAACGAGGUGCCAGGAUCUGCGUGCGGUUACGGUGCAUUUGUCAACAACCAUCCGUCUGUAGAGCUGUGCUGAAGUCAAAUAUUUAUACGGUUUAUCGCACGCGAUCACUGGUCAGCAAAAUAGCAAAACCUUCAAAGGUGGAGAGAGAGAGAAGGAGAAGCGGAGUUGCAAAGAAGCAGAUAGACGGUGGAGCAGUAGCAUUCAGUCCGCAUAAAUAUCUACAUACCAACAUGCAACUAAAUACAUUUGAGUGAGGCUUAAGCCACGGCUGACUUGCAACUUUAGGCCAAGGCUUAUUAGCUGGAACCUCCAUUUAUUUAUGUAAAUGUGUACACUAGGGUUGUCGAAGGACUGAUGAGGUAUGUUGAAAAUGUGUUUUUUGUGAGGUUAAAAGUUUGAGCUUCAUCAGGCUCCUGUGGUCCUGCUAGCACGAGUAAUGCAUCUUUUUUUAUAAAGAAUUAUUGACACAAAGUUUCUCACGCAAGCCCGCAUUUUACUCUGUUCUUAUUCGAUCAAUUUCGGGUCAGGGAAGUUCGGACUGCUGCUUGGUUUUCAUCACCGGUUUGUGGAAUGCUUCGUUUAAUGUGGCCCUCGGCGGAUUCGGUGGGGGGUGGGUAAUGCUAGGUCUAAAACUAACUCUCUCAGGUAGUCAACGCAUUGUCAAAGAGUAUCAAGGCAUCAGAGAAAAAGAAUUUCAAAGCUCUAAGGUUACUUCUACGGCGGCUGGUGGGUUAUAACCCAGAGCAAAGAUUAUUGUAGACUUAAUUUGUGCUGAAUCUGAUUACACAAUUAAUCCAAUUUAUCUAUAGAUCCAAGAUCAUUACUUGCUGUGAGGCACUAAAUCCCACGCGAUGGCAACUGGUUCUAACUCGGACUGUCACACAGUCAUCUCUCUCAGCCAAAUGCAGAAGACUUUUGAAGACGCAAUCAUGUUUUGCAGAUGUAAAAUGGAUCUAUUGUUCGGUACCUCUAUUACAAUGCGAAGUGCUUUAAGGCAUUUAUCUCGGCUCUCUGAGAAGUCUUGCACAGAGGAAAUACCCGGAAGGCAAUGUCAUAACCUGCGGCAUGGAUAACGGCUCUCUGAGAAGUCUUGCACAGAGGAAACACCCGGAAGGUGAUGCCAUAACGAAUUAUAACAAAAAAAAGAAAAAAACAUCGUCGGCACACACACAACGCCUGUAGUCGAGGUCAUCUAACUGGAGGUCUAGAUAACCACCUAUUUCGAUGGGUUCCAACCAGAGUGAAUGGGGCGUCAGAUAAGUGGAUUUUAUUGGGCAAGCAAAAAACUCGUUAUUGCCAUGCGGAGACAUACUUCAAGUCUUAGUAGAUAGCACUUCAGCCUACAACAGUAUCUAAAACAUAAUUGUGGCAGCAUUACUCGGGUCUCGCGAGAAAGCUCGAGCACUUUGUCUGCUAUGUGUAGUGGUUAGACUCCAAGCACACCAUUUACAUAAAGAGAGUUUAUAAAAGUGCACACGGGCUCUCUGUGAAUGUCUGAAAGGGCAAACGCUAUCAUUGGUAUGCGACGACAUUUAUAUGUCCUGAUGGAUGAUUGCAACUUUGCUAUUUAGCAUAUGUACAGGGCGAUUAACAAAAGUUCGGUCUGUUGAAAACUUUGAAUUUUAUUUAUUAAAUCUAAACAUACCAA